CUGGCGGCGUGCCUACACAUGCAAGUCGAGCGCGAAUAGGGGCAACCCUUAGUAGAGCGGCGCACGGGUGCGUAACACGUGGAUAAUCUGCCUGGAUGCCCGGGAUAACCAGUCGAAAGAUUGGCUAAUACCGGAUAAGCCCACGGCCUCUUCGGAGACUGAGGGAAAAGGUGGCCUCUGUAUACAAGCUAUCACAACCAGAUGAGUCCGCGGCCCAUCAGCUAGUUGGCGGGGUAAUGGCCCACCAAGGCAACGACGGGUAGCUGGUCUGAGAGGACGAUCAGCCACACUGGAACUGAGACACGGUCCAGACUCCUACGGGAGGCAGCAGUGGGGAAUUUUGCGCAAUGGGCGAAAGCCUGACGCAGCAACGCCGCGUGUGUGAUGAAGGUCUUUGGAUUGUAAAGCACUUUCGACCGGGACGAAAACCCGUUGGCUAACAUCCAACGGCUUGACUGUACCGGGAGAAGAAGCACCGGCUAACUCUGUGCCAGCAGCCGCGGUAAU
rnacentral:rRNA from 1 species